GAUGAACGCUGGCGGCGUGCCUAAUACAUGCAAGUCGAGCGAACAGACGAGGAGCUUGCUCCUCUGACGUUAGCGGCGGACGGGUGAGUAACACGUGGAUAACCUACCUAUAAGACUGGGAUAACUUCGGGAAACCGGAGCUAAUACCGGAUAAUAUAUUGAACCGCAUGGUUCAAUAGUGAAAGACGGUUUUGCUGUCACUUAUAGAUGGAUCCGCGCCGCAUUAGCUAGUUGGUAAGGUAACGGCUUACCAAGGCAACGAUGCGUAGCCGACCUGAGAGGGUGAUCGGCCACACUGGAACUGAGACACGGUCCAGACUCCUACAGGAGGCAGCAGUAGGGAAUCUGCCGCAAUGGGCGAAAGCCUGACGGAGCAACGCCGCGUGAGUGAUGAAGGUCUUCGGAUCGUAAAACUCUGUUAUUAGGGAAGAACAAAUGUGUAAGUAACUAUGCACGUCUUGACGGUACCUAGUCAGAAAGCCACGGCUAACUACGUG
rnacentral:rRNA from 1 species